UACAGAGGUCUCAAGCGUUGUUCGGAUUCAUUGGGCGUAAAGGGUGCGUAGGUGGUGGGGUAAGUCUGAUGUGAAAUCUUCGAGCUUAACUCGGAAAUGGCAUUGGAUACUACUCUGCUAGAGGUUUGGAGGGGGGACUGGAAUUCUCGGUGUAGCAGUGAAAUGCGUAGAUAUCGAGAGGAACACCAGUGGCGAAGGCGGCGCACUGGACCACAACUGACGCUGAGGCGCGAAAGCUAGGGGAGCAAACAGG
rnacentral:rRNA from 1 species